GACGUAGGAGGCGAGCGUUAUCCGGAUUUAUUGGGCGUAAAGGGCAAGUAGGCGGUUGUCAAAGUUGGGCGUGACAGACCCUGGCUUAACUAGGGGAGGUCGUUCAAAACUAGGCAACUAGAGGGCAGAAGAGGGAAGCAGAACUCCUGAUGUAGCGGUGGAAUGCUCAAAUAUCAGGAAGAAUACCAGUGGCGAAGGCGGCUUUCUGGUCUGCACCUGACGCUGAGAGGCGAAGGCCAGGGGAGCGAACGGGCUUAGAUACCCCGGUAGUCCUGGCAGUAAACGGUGGAUACUAGGUAUCAGGGGUCAAGGCCUUUGGUGCCGAAGCGAACGCGUUAAGUAUCCCGCCUGGGGACUACGGCCGCAAGGUUAAA
rnacentral:rRNA from 1 species